AGAGUUGGACGUGACUGAGUGAUUAAACUGAUGCAUCUGCAUUAUUACAAAAAAGAAAGAACUUUCUGAAUAAAGGAUAGUCCCGCCCAUGAAAUGAAAGUGGAUGACUAUAUCAACAGGUACAUUUUUUUUCUGCCUCUUUUUUUCCCAUUUCAAUGCAGACAUUGAAACUUUACUUCUGAGUCUGGCUACCUGACCAGAGUGCAUUCAGGAAUCACUGGACUAUUUUACACUUUUCCAGGGGCAAAAGUAUAGAUCAUGUUCGAUCAAAUCAUUAACAAUUUUCUCCAACAUGCUCAACUCAAUGUGCUCAACUAACUAGAGAUGGUUUUCUCUUAUUCUACCUUUAAUACAGAAAGAAAAUAUACAGCUCAGAGAGACAGUGGCAAAGGAAUAUGGAAGAGAGCACCAGAAUAAAAACAGAGGGCCUGAAUUAGCCUUUCCAGCUAUAAGGUUCUCAGUGCAGUCCACAUCCCAUCAUUCAAGUUAGCAAGUCAAAAACAUCUUAAAGGCAGUUGAGAAGAUCAGCCUGUGCCACACAUCUAAUGAUAACCUUUAAUAAAGAGUCUAUGAUGGCUCCUGACUCUGCUUCCUAAAGAUCAUCAAUUAUGAUGAUCUAAAAUAACAACUCCAAGUUCAGUUUAUUUGUAGUUUGUAGUAUCUCAAUCUAUGGCAAGGCAAAGAGAUUACUGUUCACCAAGUAUUCCCUAUGUUCCCCUAUAUUUCAUAGCCUUCCUUUCAGUUUGGUUAGAUCAUGUGGCUAGUUUCAGCCAAUGGACUCUGAGCAGAAGUGGUAUGUAUUACUUCUGGGUCAAGGAAGUUAAGAACCAGGAUAGUGGUUCUCCAUGCCUCUCUUUCCUUGCUGAAGCAUCUCAGAAGCCAUGUGUUACAGACGAGAAGCUACAAGUCGGCAGAGUCACUAUCAGCCUGGACCCCUGAGUAACUAAAUGGAGAAGACUCCCCAAAUCCCACAAUUGGUUUUAAUGUGUAACAGGAGAAAUAAA